AACACAGCAGCAAGGUGGAACCAGGGCUUCCACGCAGCGGAGACCAAGACUUAGAAAGGCUCUGGCAGAUCCCCUCACAGCAAGUGGCAAGCCCCCACGCCUACUUUCCAUGGUUCUUGUGAAUGAGAACCACCGCCCUGUAGCCUCUUCCUAGCCUCUCCUGGCUCAGAGAUUUGCAAAUCUCCCUGGAUUUCUAUGUUAGGACGGAGUAUGUACUGACAGCUGGACGUCCCCUGGUGCAUUGGAACAAGUCACUCAGGUCAGUGCAGUCGGACGGAGACGGGAGAGUGGAGCCUUAUCACUGGAUGGAGAUGGAAGAAUCACUUCUCUCUCAGCCCCACCUUCUUCAAGAGGGGACUGUGCUCUGAAGAUGAGACCCACUAUCCAGAAGAGAGUUUCAGAAACAGAGCCAAAGUCCUCUGUGGCCUAGAAGCCAUCUGUCCCUGAAUACCUUUCUGACCUCAUUUUCAACCACCCUCCCUGUGCUCAUUCUGCUGGGCCAGCUGCCUCCUUGUUGGUCCUCAAACUCAGAAAGCACAGAAAUGACAGCAUUGGCUGUCCCCAGUGCCCUGAGGGUUUUGGCUCAGUUUUAAGACUCCACUAUGUUCACAGCAUCCUUA
rnacentral:sRNA from 1 species